GUCCUCCUGCCGACUAAGACUGGACGUCAUUAUGCAGGGAACUACUUUAGGGGUGUCUCGACCUGAAGUAGAUUAAUUGGGACUGGCUAAGCAUAGAGCCUGCCACUUGGCGCUAUGUGAGGUGAGAUAUUAGUGAAGUUGGCUAAGCAUGUAGAUGCAGCAAGGAAAAGAUUUGCGGACAGGGGUUCGACUCCCCUCGUCUCCACCA
rnacentral:tmRNA from 1 species